rnacentral:rRNA from 1 species
AGAGUUCGAUCCUGGCUCAGGAUGAACGCUGGCGGCGCGCCUAACACAUGCAAGUCGAACGGCACCUAUCUUCGGAUAGAAGCGAGUGGCGAACGGCUGAGUAACACGUGGAGAACCUGCCCCCUCCCCCGGGAUAGCCGCCCGAAAGGACGGGUAAUACCGGAUACCCCGGGGUGCCGCAUGGCACCCCGGCUAAAGCCCCGACGGGAGGGGAUGGCUCCGCGGCCCAUCAGGUAGACGGCGGGGUGACGGCCCACCGUGCCGACAACGGGUAGCCGGGUUGAGAGACCGACCGGCCAGAUUGGGACUGAGACACGGCCCAGACUCCUACGGGAGGCAGCAGUGGGGAAUCUUGCGCAAUGGGGGGAACCCUGACGCAGCGACGCCGCGUGCGGGACGGAGGCCUUCGGGUCGUAAACCGCUUUCAGCAGGGAAGAGUCAAGACUGUACCUGCAGAAGAAGCCCCGGCUAACUACGUGCCAGCAGCCGCGGUAAUACGUAGGGGGCGAGCGUUAUCCGGAUUCAUUGGGCGUAAAGCGCGCGUAGGCGGCCCGGCAGGCCGGGGGUCGAAGCGGGGGGCUCAACCCCCCGAAGCCCCCGGAACCUCCGCGGCUUGGGUCCGGUAGGGGAGGGUGGAACACCCGGUGUAGCGGUGGAAUGCGCAGAUAUCGGGUGGAACACCGGUGGCGAAGGCGGCCCUCUGGGCCGAGACCGACGCUGAGGCGCGAAAGCUGGGGGAGCGAACAGGAUUAGAUACCCUGGUAGUCCCAGCCGUAAACGAUGGGUGCUAGGUGUGGGGGGAUCAUCCCUCCGUGCCGCAGCCAACGCAUUAAGCGCCCCGCCUGGGGAGUACGGCCGCAAGGCUAAAACUCAAAGGAAUUGAC